rnacentral:rRNA from 1 species
UACGAAGGGGGCUAGCGUUGCUCGGAAUCACUGGGCGUAAAGCGCACGUAGGCGGAUCUUUUAAGUCAGGGGUGAAAUCCCAAGGCUCAACCUUGGAACUGCCUUUGAUACUGGGGAUCUCGAGUCCGGAAGAGGUUGGUGGAACUGCGAAGUGUAGAGGUGAAAUUCGUAGAUAUUCGCAAAGAACACCAGUGGCGAAGGCGGCCAACUGGUCCGGUACUGACGCUGAGGUGCGAAAGCGUGGGGAGCAAACAG